rnacentral:rRNA from 1 species
UAGAGUUUGAUCCUGGCUCAGAUUGAACGCUGGCGGCAUGCCUUACACAUGCAAGUCGAACGGUAACAGGUCUUCGGAUGCUGACGAGUGGCGAACGGGUGAGUAAUACAUCGGAACGUGCCCAGACGUGGGGGAUAACGAGGCGAAAGCUUUGCUAAUACCGCAUACGAUCUAAGGAUGAAAGCAGGGGACCGCAAGGCCUUGCGCGUUUGGAGCGGCCGAUGGCAGAUUAGGUAGUUGGUGGGAUAAAAGCUUACCAAGCCGACGAUCUGUAGCUGGUCUGAGAGGACGACCAGCCACACUGGGACUGAGACACGGCCCAGACUCCUACGGGAGGCAGCAGUGGGGAAUUUUGGACAAUGGGCGAAAGCCUGAUCCAGCAAUGCCGCGUGCAGGAUGAAGGCCUUCGGGUUGUAAACUGCUUUUGUACGGAACGAAAAGGCCCUGGCUAAUACCUGGGGCACAUGACGGUACCGUAAGAAUAAGCACCGGCUAACUACGUGCCAGCAGCCGCGGUAAUACGUAGGGUGCGAGCGUUAAUCGGAAUUACUGGGCGUAAAGCGUGCGCAGGCGGUUUUGUAAGACAGAGGUGAAAUCCCCGGGCUCAACCUGGGAACUGCCUUUGUGACUGCAAAGCUGGAGUGCGGCAGAGGGGGAUGGAAUUCCGCGUGUAGCAGUGAAAUGCGUAGAUAUGCGGAGGAACACCGAUGGCGAAGGCAAUCCCCUGGGCCUGCACUACGNUMUC